UACGUAGGUGGCAAGCGUUGUCCGGAAUUAUUGGGCGUAAAGCGCGCGCAGGCGGUUUCUUAAGUCUGAUGUGAAAUCUUGCGGCUCAACCGCAAGCGGUCAUUGGAAACUGGGAGACUUGAGUGCAGAAGAGAAGAGCGGAAUUCCACGUGUAGCGGUGAAAUGCGUAGAGAUGUGGAGGAACACCAGUGGCGAAGGCGGCUCUUUGGUCUGUAACUGACGCUGAGGCGCGAAAGCGUGGGGAGCGAACAGG
rnacentral:rRNA from 1 species